CCCGCGCCCCGCGGCGGGCCCUAAGAUGGCGCCCGGCAGGGCGAGAGCAGGCGCUGGGGCCGCGCGGGAGGAGCUUCGGGGCCCGCCCCGUUCCCUGGGCGACGGCGACGCCGAUCCCGGGCACCAUGGCGGAGGCGGAGGCGGCGGAGGCAGGCAGCCCGCCCGGGCAGGCAGAAGACCAGGAUCAGGAUGCAGUAGGUGGACAGAAGAUUAUUAAUCAGACAUUUCUUUCUCUUUCCCAAAUUACUGCUUUGUCAGAACAAAAUGUAGAAGGAGUUCAAAAAAAGCUGGAAGAAUUUCUGAAUUUUAAACAAUUAAAGACAUCUUUGAAGGAAGCUAUUUUGUUAGAUUAUUAUACUGCUGGAUUUUGGUGGGCUAAAGAAAAGAACUUCAGUCUUGUGCAGCUGUCAGGAUUCAUGGAUCUAUUAAACUUUCUGUUGGAGAACCUCCGUGACAAACAUAUGACCUUAGAAGAUAACAUAAAGGAACUUGGAAAAGCAAUGGCUGGAAUAGGAGAAACUGAUUCAGAAAGAAGUGGUGACAUGGAUGUUUUCAGCAUUGAGCAAGCCAAAGCAAUCAUUGAUUACUUGAAUAUCAGCUUAUUUAAACCCUAUAAAUUGUAUGAACAUCUCUUCCACAGUCCUAGAGAAGAACUGGUGAUAAGUAAUAAGUAUGUGAUUGAACUUGCCCCACCUGCAGUUACCCCCUUUCCUCCUUUACUGGAAGAAGGUAUGCCUUUGGAGAGCUGUGAAUCACUGAUAGUAUUGCCAAUAUUUGCAGAGAUGGAACCUAAGGGAUCUGAUCAAGAAGGUCACCUGGAAGAACCCUGUCCAGAGGCAGAGUCCCUUGAGGCAGGUGCUGUGGCUGCUUUCACUGUUGAAGAUCAGAAGUCUGCAGUGGAUGGAAUCCCAAAUGAAAUUAUUGGCAACCUUGAGGCAGAGAUAAAUGAAAAGCUGCAAAUACAAGAAGAAGCUUAUACUUUGAGAACAGAAAAAAUAAAAAGUCCUAAAUAACCAGAUAAGAAAGGAUAUUUUGCUGGAAGGAGAAUACACAGAAAGAAAAUGAAAUUUUGAGGCAUUGCAGAUACAAUAAGGAGAGAAUUUAAUUAACAUGUAAUUAUACACUUUUUUCUAUAGUUAUUCAUUAAUAACAUGUAUGUUAUUUCAUUUUGAUUUUUUUCUCUAAGCGUUUAAACUAGUUGCAUAUAUUACACUUCUUUAUUUCCACCAUACUAAAAAUGCAUAAACGAAGAGUAUGUACUUUUACAGUCUUCCCAGAAAUAAUUCCUUUUGAUUUCCGUGGAUUUUUUUCUGGAAUACAUGUACGUGUAACGUUUCAUCUGAGAAUGCAUUUCCUAUUCCUCUGUAUACUAACAUCAUUCCAUAUUUUGUCAGACAUUAUAGAAAUGUUGUAAACACAGGAGGAAUCCAACUAUAUAAUAAUUGACAUCAGAAGAACUGGUUUAACGUCUAUGUUUCAAAAUAGUAAACUAUACUAAUUGCUAUGUUACAGAACUCUGUGCCCUAGAAAGCAUGUUAAAAACAAGUCAUGCUUUCAAGCGUAAGGGCUGGAUUGCAUGUUUAAGGGAAUAUUUACGAAACAGAAUAUUUUAUUCGUUACAAUUUUGUAUUUGUUUCUCAUUAAGUAAAUGUUAGGCUUUGUUUCACUUCACCCACAUUUUUAUGGUGAUAACGAAGAACGUUCACAAGCCUGACUCAUCCAGGCAAAAAUGACAAUAACCUGAAAUAGUUUGCCUGAAAGGUCUUGUUUGUCACUGCCUGCCUUGCAUGGGUGUGCUCCCUGGUUGUGCUCAGAGCUGAGAGCACAGCCAGAAGGGGGCGUUGCCUGCACGUUGUUCAUCAGAAAGAGCUCCCAGAAUUAAAAGACAAUAUUCAAUAGCUGUGUUUGAGUGCCAGUAGCCUGGAAGUACUCUUUAAAGUACAUGUCAGAUGUGUGGGCACUGGACUCCUGUAAAGAAGUUGUGUGAGAUGUUAAGUGGGCAGAAUAUUUUAGUUGGUCUCAUGUGUUGAGAAAAAUUCUUCCCAUUACAUGAUCAGAAGUAAGCUCUAUAGCAAUUCACUAAAAGUUUUCUUCAUUUUUCUACCUAACAUGGUCCAACAAGUUAAUAAGAGCUUCCUUUCAGCUGUAAAAUCUACCUAUUCCAAUUUGAACGGUGAGGUAAUUCAUGAGGAUUUAUUGGUUUAUCCUAAAAAACAUCCUUUAAAAUUUCUAAGAUCCAUGGUUAUGUUCUGCAAUGUUUUAUUGCUUUGAAAUGUGACUCUUUUGUCAUGAAAAAAUUCUAAAAUCAAAAGGACCUUUAUUUUGAUACAUAAAUUAAUUUCCCAGAGCAUUAUGCGAAUGUCACAAAUUUCCCUGAUUUUGAACUCAAAGGUGUGAACAUAACUUCUGAAAAGAACUGUCUGUAUGGAAGGGGAGGAGUAUUUCUUGAAAUUUUUGCUGAAAACGUUAUUGUCAAUUUAGCACUUCAGUCAAAUCUGAUGACUACAACAUUCUUGCUAUAUGACAAAGCAGAAAAGGUAUAAUGAUGAUUUAUGUUAGGACCAAUGCUAAACAAAGGCUUUUGCCCGUAUUUCUUCCUCCCUCUCCCAUAUUUUGUAGAACUUCUGGGAAAUUUUGAAGAGCUUUGAAGAUGAGAAGUUGUAUAUGAACAUCAAGUAUUACUGCAAUGAUUUGUUAGCAGUCGCUCCUAGUACAUAUGCAUAACAGCUGAAGUACGGCAGAAAUUCCACGUGGAGUUCAAAUCCCACAAACCAUACUUGCAGCUCUCUUCCUGCUGACUAAUAGUAUUUGUAGCUAUCUUCCUGCUGAAAUAAUGCUACCAAUAAAAACAGCCCCAGGGAUUUUUUUUUAUUAUUAUUUUUGAAAUGGGAGGGGGGGAUAGUUAAGGAGACUAAGGUGAAGGCAGGAAGACGAGCAAAAGGUGGACAUGACAUCUCUCCAAGCAGUCAGAGUACAUGCUCUGACACAGCAUAUGAACAUCAACUUGAAGAAUCCUUUCAUGUCUUCAGAAUGUUAAUAUGAAAUGCAAAACGUCAUGCUUUGGAUGGAUGGGUAGGAACAAAAUGUUCAGAUGCAAUAUGGUGCAUUAAGAACAGUCUCCAGCCUGUAUUCCUGGCUUUUCCGUUGGUUUAAAUCAGGCUUGCUGUUUUUAAAGUCUCCCGUGUCAUGUUGAGUUACUGCUAUAGUUGUCUCUAAAAAUAAUUAUACUGUCAUUUCUGGGACCUACAGUUGAGGCUUUUGAGGCUUUGGCAUAAUAAUCUUUGAUUUUUUGUUUCACUACUGAUGUGACAUAGUUCUUUAAAAUAUACAUACUUAACGUAGUUCUUAACGGGUUCCACCCUACAAAGCUUUCAAUUUAAAUCAGGCAGAUGUAGAAAAGAAAAAAGAUGUUACAUUCUGCCUUGUCUCCCAAAUAAGCAAGGAUUUUCUAGGGGAAAAGGGAUAGAAGAAACACUAUAGUUUUUUCUCUGUAAGGUAUAAUAUUGAUGCUUUUUAGCAUCAAUAUGGUAAUAUCCUGGUCUCCUCUAGGAUUUUAUAAUGAGAUAGUGAACAACUAGUAAUUAUCCUCUAGCAAAAGAAAAGCUUUUCAAGCAAUGCUUUCCUGUAUUACACUGACAGAGGAUGGAAGUUUAGAAAAGAUGGAAAGCAGCACUUUCCUGCAUUACAUUGACAGAGGAUGAAAGUUUAUAAAAGAUGGAAAACAGCUUUCCUAAUAAGAAGCUGGCUGGAAAAGAUGGAAAAGGGGGCAAAAAGAGAAUUAUUUUUUUUACCUGUUCCAUAGUGUUUUGCCAUGACCUUUUCUUCUCAAGCCUCGCUUCUCUCACCAAUACUUAAUUUGAAUUUGAAAAUUACCACAUUGUUUCCUUCCUAAAAUUAUAACUGACAUUCCUAGAAAAUUUGCUUUCCCAGAAAAGCACUGUGCGUGGGCUUUGUAUUCAGCUUUCCACAAGUGAGAAAAAGACAUUUUCUUCAAUAAUCUACCCUGCCAACGUGACCACAAAAUGUGUGCAAAGUCAGCAUUUGUCCAUUUAAAUCAGAUUUUUAAGCACAUGAUUCAGUUAACCACCAGUAUGCAUGCAUCCAGGUGUAGGUAUUGUACUUAUUUGUAAGGAUUUAUUUUGUGAGUAGUAUAUUGUUUUCAUUGAUGGGCUUUGUUUUUCAGUUCAUACUAACUGUGUAACAAGAAACAUAUUUGUAUUACACACACUUGUUGGUUGUGUGGUUUUUGUUGUUGUUGUUUUUUGUUUUUGUUUUUCCCAGUAGUAUAUUUUAAACUUUUUCAGUCCUUAUUUCUGCCUUUUCAUCCUGUAAGGUGCUUGGACUCCUCUGUUAAGGGAUUCCUGUGAGAUCUGUCUCAUUCUGGUGAGAUUUUCACAAGCCACUGCAGCGAAGGGUGUUCCGAUGCUACUUCUGCUGUACAGAGCCUCCCUAGCAUAGGCUUGAUCCCAGGUUGUAACCCAGAAGUAAGUAGAAGACAGCUGCUCAAAAGAAAGGAUACUAAUAUGGGCUGCACCCUCUCAUCUUCAGCUAGCCCCUGUUUAUGGCAGAGUGUGGAUAUGACAGAUGAACCUCAACAUGGGUUGCAUGCAUAUCAAGGGUCGUAAAGAAUUCAUAGGUAGUGCGUGUAGUUUUCCUGUGGUGUCGAAGGGAUGUUUACACUCUUACUAGCACUAGUAAGAGUGAUGCGUCAUCCUGAAGAAAAAGAUACUGCAGGUAACUGGGCAAUUUACCCCCUUUCCUCCCUCGUAUUCAUUUCAGGAUGAUGUUAUACCUGCCCCUGCCACAAUGUGCAUGGUUCUCCUGUACACUGGUGUAGGGAGGAGUUGUGCCCAAGGUGAGAUCACCUCCAUUUCUCUGCAACAGUUGACAAGGAAGUGACAGCAGUGACAAAACACUCAGGCUGCGUUGCUUGCCGUGAGCAAAUCAAAACUCAUGCGUGUAACUCUUCAACCUAUUUUCUUGGGGCACUUUAAGCAUGCAGAGCAAGCGACAAACUCUAGCAGUUGUGGAUUUAGAUUACGUGUUCAUGCCAAAAAAGAAAAAGAAAGAAAAAAAAUCAAAGGAUAGUUGCAGUGACUCAUGUAAUUGAGAGUCCCAUUCAGAUGCAGAGCAUUAAAGAGAACUUUGGAAUUAGUAAUACUGCAGAAAGAACAGAAUGUAAAAUAUUUCCCGGACAGAAACAGAUUGGCUUUUUACAUAGUAGAAUUAGUGGCCCACUUCUUUAAAGCUUUCACUGACAAAGCAAAGACUGCAUUAAAUAUGAGGUUUGUGUUCACACAGAACUCUACGCUCUCGCUGUUGGCUAGGCAUGCCAGUAGUUGUACUUGUUUUGCACAUUUAAGCAGCUGAUUAAAAGAACGAAAUAGGGAAAGGUCAGUUGCUGUUAAGUGCUCUGGUACAGUGGAAUAGGGGGAGUAAGAAGGCAGACCUAUGGACUGACAGAAGGAGAUUGUUCAAAGGCUAUGAGAAAGAAUGGUCUAUAAAAGUUAUUUGCCCAAAAUGAGGAUAGUAAUUCUCCAUUCCUGGAGGAAAGGCUGUUGGAGUUGUAUUGAUUUGGGAUGCUGAUGUGGAUGGUGAUUCAGGUUGGGAGAUUCUGCAAGUGCUUUGAAGGAUCUUCUGGAUGAGCCAGUUCCUCCAGUGACUGCAAAGAAGGCCUUAGGAUUUUGCCUCCCUCCACUGAGGUAGUACAGGCAGUGAGCCACGAAUUUGCUGACUUCAUGUACACAAGGAGCAGCCAAGAUCCAGGAACUGCAGUGUCUGGCCUGCCAGCAGAGAGAGAGCGGGGAAAAAUUCACACAUGAUCAAGACUUCCUCUGAGAACUGGAAGCUGAAGCCUUCAUUGCAUAAAGUGGACAACAGCAAUCAUGUGGACAAAUGCAAGAUGGCUGGUGAGAAUGAAGACAAGUGAAACAGAAACUCCCAGACCUGGGAGGAAAACAGAGCUCAAACAGAACAACUUUUCUCAAGCAAGCGUGCGUACAGCAGUAAGGAGCAGUGUGGAUCCAGAAGGCUCUGUGGACUACUGCUCAGGACCGCCUGGGGGUCCCCCGAUGCUGCCCCAUGCCGUGGAACAGGGUGCAGUGGGCUCUUGCACCACAGUGAUUCUUCCAGCCCAGAAGUAGGUCGCCUCAGGUCUCCUCACUACAGACAUCCCAGCCACAUGAAAAGCAAACCCAAGACAUCAUGUGAAGCAGGUCCCACCGGAGCAAAAUUCAUCAGAGUCAAUUAACAACAUCUGAAAAGUGUAUCUUGGUUAGUAACCGAUCAGGCAGAACCUGUGUGGGCUCUGCUCUCGCUGACCCAUCACCCUGUGCCACUCCAAGAAAGCAGCUCCUCAGGCACUAGGUAGCAGCCACCUCAGCUUACUGUUACCGGGAGAGCUAAGCAAACAUUUUGGGGGCUGCCAAACCACCGGCUACUCCCAUCCCAGAGCUUCAGAGCGACACGUGCCCUGUGCUAUGGGGGUCCAAACACUCUGUGAGCAUCCGGGCAUCCUCCCGGUUUCUGCACUGUGACCCGAGGAGUCCCACAGCAGCCAGCCCAUCGCUGCCAAGCCGCUCGAUAUUCGGGGUGAUUUCUGUCAGCCAGCCCGCCCCUGGAGCCCUGCGAACACCAGGACAGUUUGGGGUCUGCCUCACGGGAGCACCUGGCAGUCCUAAAGGGCAGCUUACAGCAUGACGCCAGGAUCGUGGAAAAGCACAAGUGCUUCCAGUGAGUGAUGCGAACGUCUGAUCUAAAGAACUCCCAAAGUAAGGGACCGAUCCCCAACCCGAGGGGAGUGAGUGCUGGGCCUCCCAUCAACUUCAAAGGGCCUCGCGUCCUGCCCGGCUCACUGGCUUCGGGCAGGGGCCGGCGUCGCCCUCGCAGCUCCGCUGUGGCUCCGUCUGCCACCCUGAGCACGCUCCAUAAAACUCCUCAGUGACUUAAAAGCCUGGAAGAGAAAAGCUCCGAGCAGAAAAUAAAUAAAUGAAAUAAAACAAAACAAUGCUGGCCUCCCCAGCCCCCGCGCAUGCAAACAUGAGGUUUAAGAUUGGAUCAUGGUUGGGUUUCAUUCCAAGUAUAAAAAUGGGUUUAGAAGACUUCAGUUUAAAUUGCUUCCUGUCUCCCAACAUUCCUAACCACAAAUAUUUUUAAUUGUACGGCACGAAAAUAAAGUUAUUUAAUAAAUUAACGCUUGAAAUGC